CCUACGGGGGGCUGCAGUGGGGAAUAUUGCACAAUGGGGGAAACCCUGAUGCAGCGACGCCGCGUGAGUGAAGAAGUAUUUCGGUACGUAAAGCUCUAUCAGCAGGGAAGAAAAUGACGGUACCUGACUAAGAAGCCCCGGCUCACUACGUGCCAGCAGCGGCGGUAAUACGGAGGGGGCAAGCGUUAUCCGGAUUUACUGGGUGUAAAGGGAGCGUAGGCGGCAGCGCAAGUCUGGAGUGAGAUACCAUGGCUUAACCAUGGAACUGCUUUGGAAACUGUGCAGCUAGAGUGCAGGAGAGGGAAGCGGAAUGCGUGGUGUAGCGGUGAAAUGCGUAGAUAUUAGGAAGAACACCAGUGGCGAAGGCCGCAUACUGGACUGUAACUGACGUUGAGGCUCGAAAGCGUGGGGAGCGAACAGGAUUAGAUACCCUAGUAGUC
rnacentral:rRNA from 1 species